CCCUUAGAUGUUCUGGGCCGCACGCGCGCUACACUGACGGAGGCAGCGAGCGUGUCCUUCGCCGGCAGGUGCGGGCAACCUUGCGAGUCUCCGUCGUGCUGGGGAUAGAUGGUUGCAAUUGUCGAUCUUGAACGAGGAAUUCCUAGUAAGCGCGAGUCAUCAGCUCGCGCUGAUUACGUCCCUGCCCUUUGUACACACCGCCCGUCGCUACUACAGAGUGCCCGUGUCCAAGAAACGGUCGGACCUGUGCGGCCUCUCCGGGCGACCGGAGGGCCGUUACGGGGAAGACCCUUUAUUUGACGCGGGUCGAUGAAGUAAAAGUCGUAACA
rnacentral:rRNA from 1 species